GAUGAACGCUAGCGGCAGGCUUAACACAUGCAAGUCGAGGGGCAGCGGGGAGUAGCAAUACUCUGCCGGCGACCGGCGGAAGGGUGCGUAACGCGUGAGCAACUUGCCCGUAUCCGGGACAUAAGCGGUGGAAACGCCGUCUAAUUUCCCAUAACAACGAGGAUCGCAUGGUCCAUGUUUGAAAGACACGUCGGAUACGGAUGGGCUCGCGAGACAUUAGCUAGUUGGUGAGGUAACGGCUCACCAAGGCGACGAUGUCUAGGGGUUCUGAGAGGAAGGUCCCCCACACUGGAACUGAGACACGGUCCAGACUCC
rnacentral:rRNA from 1 species